UCACGAAAUAGACCUCAUCAA
rnacentral:piRNA from 1 species